AUACGGAAGGUCCGGGCGUUAUCCGGAUUUAUUGGGUUUAAAGGGAGCGCAGGCGGAGAUGCAAGCGUGACGUCAAAUUUCGGGGCUCAACCCCGUCUCGCGUCGCGAACUGCGUCCCUUGGUUGCGGGAAGGGGAGGCGGAACUCGUGGUGUAGCGGUGAAAUGCAUAGAUAUCACGAAGAACUCCGAUCGCGAAGGCAGCCUUCCGGCCCGUCAACGACGCUCAUGCUCGAAGGUGCGGGUAUCAAACAGGAUUAGAUACCUUGGUAGUCCGCACAGUAAACGAUGGACACCCGCGGUUUGGCCUGUAUGGCUGAGCCGCCAAGCGAAAGCGUUAAGUGUCCCACCUGGGGAGUACGCCGGCAACGGUGAAACUCAAAGGAAUUGACGGGG
rnacentral:rRNA from 1 species